rnacentral:rRNA from 1 species
AGAGUUUAAUAAAACUCCUAAACCCCUGUGAACUCACUAGGUUGGAUUCUCGCCAGAGAUAGUCUGGUUUCUGCCACGCAGAUCGACUGCCUGCCCGUGACACCUGUCACAGGUAGGUAAGCUUUUGCCGCGGGUCCGCAUGUAAAUCGUCUGUUUCACAAGGGACGGCGAUUUACCUGUGGAAGAGGUCCGCUAACUAUAUUCUUAGUAUAGUUUGUUCACUAGAUCAAACAUUCUGAAUAAAAACUUAAACUAGUUAAAACUUUCAACAACGGAUCUCUUGGUUCUGGCAUCGAUGAAGAACGCAGCGAAAUGCGAUAAGUAAUGUGAAUUGCAGAAUUCAGUGAAUCAUCGAAUCUUUGAACGCACAUUGCGCCCAUUAGUAUUCUAGUGGGCAUGCCUGUUCGAGCGUCAUUUCAACCCUUAAGCCCCUGUUGCUUAGCGUUGGGAGCCUACAGCCUGUUGUAGCUCCUUAAAGGUAGUGGCGGAGUCGGUUCACACUCUAGACGUAGUAAAAUCUUUAUCUCGCCUAUAGAUGAGCCGGCGCCUUGCCGUAAAACCCCUAAUCUUUCACAAGGUUGACCUCGGAUCAGGUAGGAAUACCCGCUGAACUUAAGCAUAUCAAUAAGCGGAGGAAAAGAAACCAACAGGGAUUGCCCUAGUAACGGCGAGUGAAGCGGCAACAGCUCAAAUUUGAAAUCUGGCCUUCGGGUCCGAGUUGUAAUUUGCAGAGGAUGCUUUGGGCGCGGUGCCUUCCGAGUUCCCUGGAACGGGACGCCUUAGAGGGUGAGAGCCCCGUACGGUUGGACACCAAGCCUCUGUAAAGCUCCUUCGACGAGUCGAGUAGUUUGGGAAUGCUGCUCUAAAUGGGAGGUAAAUUUCUUCUAAAGCUAAAUAUUGGCCAGAGACCGAUAGCGCACAAGUAGAGUGAUCGAAAGAUGAAAAGCACUUUGAAAAGAGGGUUAAAUAGCACGUGAAAUUGUUGAAAGGGAAGCGUUUGCGACCAGACCUUUUCCCAGCGGAUCAUCCGGUGUUCUCACCGGUGCACUUCGCUGGGUUGAGGCCAGCAUCGGUUUCCGCAGGGGGAUAAAAGCCUGGGGAACGUAGCUCCCUCGGGAGUGUUAUAGCCCCUCGCAUAAUACCCUUGCGGGGACCGAGGACCGCG